UACGAAGGGUGCAAGCGUUGCUCGGAAUUAUUGGGCGUAAAGGGUAGGUAGGUGGUAAUAAAAGUCUGGGGUGAAAUCCCUGAGCUCAACUCAGGACUGCCCUGGAAACUUUAUUACUAGAGUGCUGGAGAGGUCCGCAGAAUUCCCGGUGUAGCGGUGAAAUGCGUAGAGAUCGGGAGGAUACCAGAGGCGAAGGCGGCGGACUGGACAGCAACUGACACUCAACUACGAAAGCGUGGGUAGCAAACAGG
rnacentral:rRNA from 1 species